rnacentral:rRNA from 1 species
AUUGCAUAUCAAUAAGCGGAGGAAAAGAAACCAACAGGGAUUGCCUUAGUAGCGGCGGGUGAAGCGGCAAUAGCUCAAAUUUGAAAUCUGGCACCUUCGGUGUCCGAGUUGUAAUCUGAAGAAGGUAUCUUUGGUUUUGGCCCUUGUCUAUGUUUCUUGGAACAGGACGUCACAGAGGGUGAGAAUCCCGUGCGACAAGGUGCCCAAUUCCAUGUAAAGUUCCUUCGACGAGUCGAGUUGUUUGGGAAUGCAGCUCUAAGUGGGUGGUAAAUUCCAUCUAAAGCUAAAUAUUGGCGAGAGACCGAUAGCGAACAAGUACUGUGAAGGAAAGAUGAAAAGAACUUUGAAAAGAGAGUGAAAAAGUACGUGAAAUUGUUGAAAGGGAAGGGCUUGAGGUCAGACUUGGUUUUACCAGGCCAGCAUCAGUUUGGAUGGCAGGAUAAUAGCUAAGAAAAGUGGCACAGCUUCGGUUGUGUGUUAUAGUCUUGGUUGAUACUGCCUGUCCAGACUGAGGACUGCGUCUUUGACUAGGAUGCUGGCAUAAUGACCUUAAGCCGCCCGUCUUGAAACACGGACCAAU